rnacentral:rRNA from 1 species
UACGUAGGGGGCUAGCGUUGUCCGGAAUCAUUGGGCGUAAAGCGCGCGUAGGCGGCCCGGUAAGUCCGCUCUGAAGGUCCAGGGCUCAACCCUGGAAUGCGGGUGGAUACUGCCGGGCUAGAGUCCGGAAGAGGCGAGUGGAAUUCCUGGUGUAGCGGUGGAAUGCGCAGAUAUCAGGAGGAACACCAAUAGCGAAGGCAGCUCGCUGGGACGGUACUGACGCUAAGGCGCGAAAGCGUGGGGAGCAAACAGG